GUGGGGGAGCUGGUGGGUCAGGGUCUUCAGGGCCCCAUUGUCGAAAGGCCGGUGAGGAGGCUGACCAGGAGGGCUGUACCCACACUUUCAGGGCCACCUGCCCCCCCACCCAGCGAGUCCUGGACUCGGGAGUCCUGCCAGGGCGGGACGUUGCACAGGGUGGAUUGGCAGCAGGUCACAGUCAUCUGGGUCCCCUCUGCCGUCCUGGUGACAGGUUGGCAGCUGUCUGCACACCAGGUUGAGUAGGUGGUCAAGAGGCCUGACUCUGGGGGCAGGGGUUGGAGAAGAGGGGCUGAGGCUGGGUGGGGGUCGCCAAGGGGGCUCUACCUGGCUCUGGGCGGGCCCCUCAGGCAUGGGUGUCAGAGCACCUCACUUUCCAGCCGCCCAGAUGUGCGGGUGCCACGGUCCUGUGCCCACUCACCAGUGUUCCCGUGGGCCACGAGGGUUGUGCAGAAGGUCUGGCUGAGCGAGCAGCUCUGGGUCAGGUUGCAGCUCUCCUCCCUGCGCAGGGACUGGCAGGUGUAGCACCGCAGCCCUGGGGGCAAGGAUGGGCUCAGGCGGGCCCUCCGAGCCUCUGCUCUGUGCCCCUCCAGUCUCCUCCUGCGUCCAGGUCCACCUCCCUAUUCUCAGCUGCCCCCCACAAAGCCUGCCCUGCUUCAGCCUCCUGCACUCCCUGCUCAGACUGGCCAGCGAGCCCACGUCUGGCUCCACACGCCCAGCUGUGCAGGAGCCGGUGCUAUUGAGGGUGAACUUUCCGUUCAUCUCUCGUUGGGUGGCACUGCCCAGGCCCCUGCCACGGGCACAGAGGACCUGCAGCUGUCCAGCCCGUAGUCCCCGUCGUUGUCCUCCUCCUGUGGCUGCCCUCUCCCUGGACACACAGGAACACCUGUAAAUCUCAGCUGCCCGAUACAGAGGACACCCACUCCACUCCAGGCAAAUGCCUGCUCCCCGCCCCCCACCCCUUCCCGUUCCUGCGUGCCCCACUCCGCUCCCUCCACACCUGUCCUGUGGCCAAGUGCCUCCUGGCAUCCUCAUUACUAACGACCCAGGGGCUGUGCACCGGCCCUUCGCUGUGGCUGCCCCAACCCCCACCCCACCUAACCCUCUCUGUGGCCUGCUUGUUUUACAGAAGAGGAAAUGGAGGCUGGGAGAAAAGCCAGAUCCCCAAACUCUGCAGUGCUGGAGAGGCUGAGCCUGGGGCUGGGGAGGAGAGGGAACCUGGGAGAGGAGAGCCCCCAGGGCCUGGCUGGGGCCACAGAUGUUUGGGGACCCAGGGAGCCCAGGACAGCCUCCAUCCAUCUCCUUCUGGCUGGGGACUCCAGCCUCAUCCCCUCCUCUCCCUAAGCCCGCAUCUAGUCCCCAGGCUGGGGGUCCUUGGAGGUCUCUGUGGGCUGGGACUGCGUGACCCAGCUCACAGAGCCGCCCCGGGCCCCGCACCUGGUUGCCUGCACAGCAGCAGGGUGAGCAGGACAGCCCUGAACGCCUUCAUCGUGCAGGACACUGCCGCUCACUCGCGCUGGGUCCUCGCUCUGCUCUGGAUCUGUGCUCCAGGCACCAGGCCAGGGACAGCCAUUUCCCUCCAGGACCUCUGUGGCCCAAGGGGAAGGAGAAGUCAUUGUGGUCGGGCUCGGAGCGUCCUGUCCACCUGUGCUGCUUGCUGCCUGUGGCUGCACCUGGCGGAAGAUGGUGCCGGCCACAGGAGCCACCGGACCCCUCCCUGCCUCACUGGGCCUCAGAGCUUCAGCUCUGUAGUGCGGGGCAGAGAGGCUUGCUUUGGGCCGGGCAGCAUCUGGCAGCCCUCACCCCUUUGUCUGGAGUGUGGACGCCGUGGCCCUGCACAGCCACAGGAGCUCAGGGUCAGGGACCCUCUAUCCGCAGACCAUUGGCCAGGCAUCUUGCCCUCAAGUCACUGUCACACCCAGGGCCUCUCUGAGAGUUUUUUUUU